UUCUGGUGUCUUUUGCAGGGAAAUCUGAAAGAGGAUACCCCGUUACUCAGCCGCAGCUCUUGCCCGCUGAUAUUAGCGAUGGCCUUUCUCCUCCGGGAAUGAAAGUCUCUUCUCAGUUCUACAAUCUUCACCGCCGGAGGCUCGCCGACUCCAGCAUAGAUCCACUGCCCAAGAAGAUCCGGAAGGUUCCUUCUGGCCUGCCGUCGUCUGUGUCUUCGGUGAGUGUUGAUGUGCCCUCAUUAGUGUCUGAGUCCAGAUUAUCAUGCCACGUGCCGUCAGUCUG